rnacentral:rRNA from 1 species
UUGAACGCUGGCGGCAGGCCUAACACAUGCAAGUCGAGCGGUAGCACAGAGAGCUUGCUCUCGGGUGACGAGCGGCGGACGGGUGAGUAAUGUCUGGGAAACUGCCUGAUGGAGGGGGAUAACUACUGGAAACGGUAGCUAAUACCGCAUAACGUCGCAAGACCAAAGUGGGGGACCUUCGGGCCUCAUGCCAUCAGAUGUGCCCAGAUGGGAUUAGCUAGUAGGUGGGGUAACGGCUCACCUAGGCGACGAUCCCUAGCUGGUCUGAGAGGAUGACCAGCCACACUGGAACUGAGACACGGUCCAGACUCCUACGGGAGGCAGCAGUGGGGAAUAUUGCACAAUGGGCGCAAGCCUGAUGCAGCCAUGCCGCGUGUGUGAAGAAGGCCUUCGGGUUGUAAAGCACUUUCAGCGGGGAGGAAGGCGGUGAGGUUAAUAACCUCACCGAUUGACGUUACCCGCAGAAGAAGCACCGGCUAACUCCGUGCCAGCAGCCGCGGUAAUACGGAGGGUGCAAGCGUUAAUCGGAAUUACUGGGCGUAAAGCGCACGCAGGCGGUCUGUCAAGUCGGAUGUGAAAUCCCCGGGCUCAACCUGGGAACUGCAUUCGAAACUGGCAGGCUAGAGUCUUGUAGAGGGGGGUAGAAUUCCAGGUGUAGCGGUGAAAUGCGUAGAGAUCUGGAGGAAUACCGGUGGCGAAGGCGGCCCCCUGGACAAAGACUGACGCUCAGGUGCGAAAGCGUGGGGAGCAAACAGGAUUAGAUACCCUGGUAGUCCACGCCGUAAACGAUGUCGAUUUGGAGGUUGUGCCCUUGAGGCGUGGCUUCCGGAGCUAACGCGUUAAAUCGACCGCCUGGGGAGUACGGCCGCAAGGUUAAAACUCAAAUGAAUUGACGGGGGCCCGCACAAGCGGUGGAGCAUGUGGUUUAAUUCGAUGCAACGCGAAGAACCUUACCUGGUCUUGACAUCCACAGAACUUUCCAGAGAUGGAUUGGUGCCUUCGGGAACUGUGAGACAGGUGCUGCAUGGCUGUCGUCAGCUCAUGUUGUGAAAUGUUGGGUUAAGUCCCGCAACGAGCGCAACCCUUAUCCUUUGUUGCCAGCGGUUAGGCCGGGAACUCAAAGGAGACUGCCAGUGAUAAACUGGAGGAAGGUGGGGAUGACGUCAAGUCAUCAUGGCCCUUACGACCAGGGCUACACACGUGCUACAAUGGCAUAUACAAAGAGAAGCGACCUCGCGAGAGCAAGCGGACCUCAUAAAGUAUGUCGUAGUCCGGAUUGGAGUCUGCAACUCGACUCCAUGAAGUCGGAAUCGCUAGUAAUCGUAGAUCAGAAUGCUACGGUGAAUACGUUCCCGGGCCUUGUACACACCGCCCGUCACACCAUGGGAGUGGGUUGCAAAAGAAGUAGGUAGCUUAACCUUCGGGAGGGCGCUUACCACUUUGUGAUUCAUGACUGGGGUG